GCAGAGAGCAGUAGAUUGAGGUUUACUAGUGUCCUUCAAUAGUAAUAAAUCAAAGUAUACAUUUUUGUUUGCUUUUGCAGCAGAAGAUGAUUGUAUAGGUUAGAUCUUAGAACUAAAUAAUUAAUUCAUUUGCUGCAGCUGUGAUGAUAUGAUAGGACCAUAAUGAUUCCCAGUUAUCACAGAACUCAAUCUACUCUCAGUUUUAAACAGCUGAACUAUUGCCUUCUCUUUUAUUUUCUAAGGAGUCUGAUAGAAAAACUUUCAUAAAUUUUAGGUAAUUUUGUAUGUUGAGAUAUUAAAUACCAACAUACUUUGAGAGAAAUUAUCAAUAUUAGUGAAAAAAAUGUCAAAGAUAUUUAUUCAUGUUUAUAAAUCCUUCACAAAACAAAACAAACUUCUAAUUUAUUUUACCUUCCUAUGUGACUUACACAGUAGAUGCAUGAAGAACCUGUAUUUUCCUGUAUUUCCUAGUCAAGGAUCAAUCUUUUAAACAUUCAAUACACUAAGUUUUGGGUUUCAGACAGAUUUAACUGUUGAGAUCUCUUUGAACUUGUCUGUGUAUGGGCAAUGAAGCACAACUCAAGUA